AUACGGAGGGUGCAAGCGUUAUUCGGAAUCACUGGGCGUAAAGGACGCGUAGGCGGGUUGGUAAGUCAGGUGUGAAAUCCUACAGCUUAACUGUAGAACUGCACUUGAAACUACAGACCUAGAGUAUGGGAGGGGCAGAUGGAAUUAGUGGUGUAGGGGUAAAAUCCGUAGAUAUCACUAGGAAUACCGAAAGCGAAGGCGAUCUGCUGGAACAUAACUGACGCUAAGGCGUGAAAGCGUGGGGAGCAAACAGGAUUAGAAACCCUAGUAGUCC
rnacentral:rRNA from 1 species